rnacentral:rRNA from 1 species
UACAUGCAAGUCGAACGGUAACAGGUCUUCGGAUGCUGACGAGUGGCGAACGGGUGAGUAAUACAUCGGAACGUGCCCGAUCGUGGGGGAUAACGAGGCGAAAGCUUUGCUAAUACCGCAUACGAUCUACGGAUGAAAGCGGGGGAUCUUCGGACCUCGCGCGGACGGAGCGGCCGAUGGCAGAUUAGGUAGUUGGUGGGAUAAAAGCUUACCAAGCCGACGAUCUGUAGCUGGUCUGAGAGGAUGAUCAGCCACACUGGGACUGAGACACGGCCCAGACUCCUACGGGAGGCAGCAGUGGGGAAUUUUGGACAAUGGGCGAAAGCCUGAUCCAGCCAUGCCGCGUGCAGGAUGAAGGCCUUCGGGUUGUAAACUGCUUUUGUACGGAACGAAAAGCCUCUUUCUAAUAAAGAGGGGUCAUGACGGUACCGUAAGAAUAAGCACCGGCUAACUACGUGCCAGCAGCUGCGGUAAUACGUAGGGUGCAAGCGUUAAUCGGA